GGUAGCGUGGCCGAGCGGUCUAAGGCGCUGGUUUAAGGCAUCCAGUCUCCCUCGGAGGCGUGGGUUCGAAUCCCACCGCUGCGCCA